rnacentral:rRNA from 1 species
AUUGAACGCUGGCGGCAGGCCUAACACAUGCAAGUCGAGCGGAUGAAGGGAGCUUGCUCCUGGAUUCAGCGGCGGACGGGUGAGUAAUGCCUAGGAAUCUGCCUGGUAGUGGGGGAUAACGUCCGGAAACGGGCGCUAAUACCGCAUACGUCCUGAGGGAGAAAGUGGGGGAUCUUCGGACCUCACGCUAUCAGAUGAGCCUAGGUCGGAUUAGCUAGUUGGUGGGGUAAAGGCCUACCAAGGCGACGAUCCGUAACUGGUCUGAGAGGAUGAUCAGUCACACUGGAACUGAGACACGGUCCAGACUCCUACGGGAGGCAGCAGUGGGGAAUAUUGGACAAUGGGCGAAAGCCUGGUCCAGCCAUGCCGCGUGUGUGAAGAAGGUCUUCGGAUUGUAAAGCACUUUAAGUUGGGAGGAAGGGCAGUAAGUUAAUACCUUGCUGUUUUGACGCUACCAACAGAAUAAGCACCGGCUAACUUCGUG